rnacentral:rRNA from 1 species
CAAGGAAUUAAGAGUUUAUGGGGAAUACCUUGGCAUUCAGAAGCGAUGAAGGACGCGUUUACCGGCGAAACGCUUCGGGGAGCUGGAAAAAAGCUAUGAUCCGGAGGUAUCCGAAUGAGGAAACUUUUUAUACUACUUAUUGAAUUCAUAGAUAAGCAAGAGCAAACCUAGGGAACUGAAACAUCUUAGUACCUAGAGGAAAAGAAAGUAAAAAACGAUUCCCUUAGUAGCGGCGAGCGAAACGGGAGAAGCCUAAACUUAGUUCUUAACUAAGGGUAGUGGGACGAUUGUAAAUCGAUUAGGACAAUUAGACGAAUAAGCUGGAAUGCUUAACCAAAGAAAGUGAUAGUCUUGUAGUUGAAAAUUGAAAUAAUCAAAUCUUAUCCCAAGUAGCAUGGAGCACGUGAAAUUCCGUGUGAAUCUGCGAGGACCACCUCGUAAUGCUAAAUAUUC